rnacentral:rRNA from 2 species
CACAUGACUCUCGGCAACGGAUAUCUCGGCUCUCGCAUCGAUGAAGAACGUAGCGAAAUGCGAUACCUGGUGUGAAUUGCAGAAUCCCGCGAACCAUCGAGUCUUUGAACGCAAGUUGCGCCCGAGGCCAUUCGGCUAAGGGCACGCCUGCCUGGGCGUCACG